rnacentral:rRNA from 1 species
AGAGUUUGAUCCUGGCUCAGAUUGAACGCUGGCGGCAUGCCUUACACAUGCAAGUCGAACGGCAGCACGGGAGCAAUCCUGGUGGCGAGUGGCGAACGGGUGAGUAAUAUAUCGGAACGUGCCCAGUCGUGGGGGAUAACGUAGAGAAAUUUACGCUAAUACCGCAUACGAUCUAAGGAUGAAAGCGGGGGACUCGCAAGGGCCUCGCGCGAUUGGAGCGGCUGAUAUCAGAUUAGGUUGUUGGUGAGGUAAAAGCUCACCAAGCCGACGAUCUGUAGCUGGUUUGAGAGAACGACCAGCCACACUGGGACUGAGACACGGCCCAGACUCCUACGGGAGGCAGCAGUGGGGAAUUUUGGACAAUGGGCGAAAGCCUGAUCCAGCAAUGCCGCGUGCAGGAAGAAGGCCUUCGGGUUGUAAACUGCUUUUGUACGGAACGAAAAGGUCUGCCCUA